UUGGUCCAUAUCCAUUUUUUAUCUACUCGUGAGAGGAUUUGUUUGAACUAAUAUAUAUAGGACCUAUAAAUUUAGGAGGGCCUAAGAAUUCAUAAAUAUAAUUAAUAAGAUUAUCCUUGUUAAAUAUUUAACUAAACACAAUAAUUGGGAGCUUUCAUUACCAAGAAUUUUGCCGUCAACGUGUGGACCUGCAUGGGAUCAUUAUUUGGUUUGGAUAGAUUACUACUAAAAGGACAAUUAUGAGUUUGGUUCAAUGACUUUUGGUUGUCCACAUCCAUAAGCAGAUUUUAAUAUUUUAAUUAGUAUACGUGAGUAUGAAUCGCGUAUAUUUUACUCUCUUCAAAUUCCAUUUUGAUGAGAAUAUACUGAGUGUAUUAUCGUAGUUGUUGUAGAGGAGAGUAAUAACAGAUGAUUAACCCAAUGGCUGAGCCAAAAUUUCACUAAGGGGUAAUCAGAAUAUAAGCAAAUUCAUAAAGAAGCUAAGCAGUGUCAAUUGUAGACACCUAAUUUUGUCCCUCCCGAAGCCCAAUUUAUCCAUUUUUUACCCCGCAUUAUCAUACACCCUCAUCCAUGUAAUUAUACCCCACAAAAAUACAAAAAAUAACAAUCUCUAGCAUAAUCCCUAACAAAUUCUAUCUUGUUUUAAUCUUAUCCUAACCAACUUUACACCCGAUCCUAACAACCUCUCUAAUGAAAUUAGGACACAUCACCAUAACAAGAUUCACACAAAGAAACACAGUGAGGGAAUUCAUACGCACUACCCCACAGAACACACCGAGAAAUCCUCAUUGAUAAAAAAUACACACAUAUUCACUCAUCCAUGAUAUACCCACACACGGGAGAACACAUACAAAAAUGGAUAGAUACACACAAGAGAGGGAAUCGAGAGAGAGUUAAAAUCGUGAGAGGGAGAAGAUGGAGUAAAAUCGAGCACUAGAGAGAGAAAAUCAGGAGAGAGCGAGCUAAGAUCGAGAAAGAGAGGGAGAUUACAGAUUGGUCACACUGUUUUUGGCGAGUUCUUCACCGGAAUCGCCGCUAGGUACUUUGACGACCACCGUUAGGUCACUGUUACGGCGAAAUCCACCAGAGAAUGACAUUUCUGCCUCUAUUCCGACCAAACCCACAUCGAACAGCCACCCCUUUCUCAUUUUCAGUUUAAAUCUCCCUGGAAAAACGUUAAAUCCGGCCACCAAUUCGUUUGUUCUUCGUGGCGUCUUGUUCGAAUUGAGCUUUGAGAUGUUCCCGUGGAUUUGGUUCGUCGUUCGAGGUUCGAGUUGAGAUGGGUUAGUCGAUUGAGGUUGUUCAAUUCGAGGUCCGUUGUCUCUUCACCCAGUUAAUACUAAAUCUUGAAAGCUUCAAAUUGAGGAGCCCGCUUGAAGAAUAGGGUGAUGAAAUUGAAAGUCAGGAGCCUACCUAAAGAAUAGGGUGAUUAAAUUGAAAGUCAGGAGCCUACCUGAAGAAGAGAAUGAUGAAAUGGAAAGUCAAGAGCCCGCUUGAAGAAUAGGAUGAUGAAAUUGAAAGUCAAGUAACAAGGUUAAGAGAUUGAAAGUCAAGCAACAAAGUCAAGAAGUUGAAAGUCAAACAACAAGGUGAAGAAGUUGAAAUUCAAGCAACAAGGCAAAGAAAUUGAAAGUCAACAGAUUGAAAAAUAGCAAGUUAGGAGCCCGCCUGAAGAACAGGGUGAUGAAAUUAAAAGCCAAGCAACAAGUUGAGGAAAUGGCAAGCCAGGAGCCCGCCUGAAGAAUAGGAUGAUGAAACUCAAGUCAAGAGUCCAAAAAAAAUUGCAUAGAUAGGACUUUUGUAAUUUCAUUUAUGUUUUAACUUGUAAUUAUUAUUUUUGAUGUAUUGACAGAGCCGCGGACCGGGACCUCGACAAAACCUCUCUCGACUCUCCUACUCGGUAUAGUCCCUCUUAUUUCAGUCCUUGGGGAUGAGUAUGAUGUCCAAAGUUAAGACUUGAUUUUCCUCCUUCCCUUUGUUUCUUUCUUUUUGAAUAAUGAUCGGGACAAAAUUUUAUCUCGUUGUCUA